UCACUGGUCAAGGGGAACCUGGUCCCAUCCCUUCAUCUCAAACCUCCCAGGUGCUUCUUUGGGAAGAGAGGCCUCGGCCUCAGUGGUAAGCCUGGUGCCUGAGGCGAUUAUGGUGCCAUCUGAGGGGUCUGGAGGGAAGCGCUGGCUGUCGGCCCAGAGUUGCAGAAACCUUGAUUGUUGGGGACUGAGAGGAGAGGAGGACAGAUCGACAAGCAGACAGAUUUUCAAAAUGUCCCUUGCUCCGGUCUUGUAUUUACUUUUCUAUUUCUCCAUUUCUCGGUGGGCCUUUCUCGGUUUCUUCUGAGAAUCCCUCUCUUGUCCUUUUGUGAUUUCCUGCGGUGUCUGUCUCUCAACUUCCAGCUGCACCCAACGGUCCCGAGUUCUCUUUUUCUCGGUCUCCUGAACCUCAUUAGUUUCCUUCCCUUGCUCUGCCUUAGUCUGUUUUUCUGAUGACCUCUCAGACUUUUGUCUCAGACUCUGUUGCUCUUUUGAUGUCUCUGUUGGUGACUCUUCCUACAUAUCUGCUACCCUUUGGACGUUCUGUCUGUCUGUUUCCCCCUUCUCGGACAGCCUGGCUCUCUCUGAGCCCCUGUGUGUGCCCCCCUCUUUUCCUGGUGCUUGAUUCUUCCAUUGUUGCAGUCCGGAUGCUGGGACUUCGGCCCUGAGCUUCCUGCUCUGGGUCCCAGACCGAUCCACUUCCUCAACCCUCAGCAGUUUAUAAGUCGAGGAAAGCAGGAUGCAGGGAAAACAGGAAGGAGGUGGACCCCAGGGCUGCCUCUCUGCCCUUCCUGCCCCUGGCCAAGGAGAGAUGGGUCAGCAGAAAUAUUCUGGGAGAAGUGCCAGACUGGCACCCAGCGUUGCUGGAGGGGGAGGGGGUCCUGGGAGAGUGAGUCCUUGAUCUUGGGGCAGUGAGACCAGGAGGGAGGGCUGCGUUUAGGAUGCCUACUUUGCCCUCUACCAGCUAGUGGGCAUCUAGCAGCAGGUGAAGAUGGCUGGUAGUCUCCUCUCACCUCAACUUGAGCACCAGCCAGAAGAGAGCUGCAAGAGUCUUCUCUUCCGGUUGAACAGAAACAUCCCUACAUCGCGACGGAAAAACCAAUCCCCUUGGGGGUUAGGAAGGCCCGGCACAGUGUCUGAUUGUUCUGUGGAUGUGAGGCAAGUCAGCUUCUAGAGAAGUCUAGGAGUGGGGUGCCUGUAGGUCUGUUCUGGAAUUCAGAGCCCAAGUCACUAAUUCUCUCACUUCCUGGACUUGUCUUCUACCCACACCACGGAUACAGCUGUGUGAAGAGGUAAAAACAGAAACCAGAAGGACCCUGGACACAGACUUUUUUUUUUUUUUUUCCAAUAUAAGGUUUUUCUGUGUAGCCCUGGCUGUCCUCGAACUCUCUCUGUAGACCAGGCUGGCCUCAAACUCACAGAGAUGCGCCUGGCCCUACCUCCUCCGUGUCGGAAUUAAAGGUGUGCACCACCACCACCUGGCUGACAUUAGACACUCAAUUGGCAAGCUAAGGUCAAUGCUUUCUAGUCAUCACAGUACUUCCCUGUCAUGACCUGACACCUUUGCAUCAUGGGAGGAGUACCCACAGAGCCUUGCAGGGUCUCUGGUGAAAUACUGAGCAAGGCUCAGCCCCUAUCUCAUUCCUUACACUGUCAAUAGGCCAUUGUCCCUUCUCAGUCUCCUGGUUUGGGACCCGGAACUCAUUUGGUCAAAGGUGUCAGUCUAUUCUUCCCGCUCUUUGCUCUUGGGACUGAGCUCCAGAUGAUCAUCUAAGUAAGUGGUCCUUUGGCACGAGCUCUUCAUCUUAUUUUUUUCUAGGGCCAGGUUGUCCCUUCCAUUUCCAGUCUGCCUUGCUUUCCUUUGUGACAGGUUGGGGAUCAGCACUACCAAGGCCACCAGAGGUGGGGACCGGUGCAUGCGUCAUAAGUCUACAAUUUCACAUCCUCGAUUCUUGAAAUCCAAGAGAAUGAUGUUCGAUGGAGAGGUCAAGCUUGGGACAGGGAGUUCCUAAACCAGGCAUUAGGUCCCUCCGGGACAGGGUUAGGGAACAGGCAGGCUGGGUUAAUUUUUAGUCAACACAGCAAAUAUUGUCCGUACUUCGGUACUGGGAAUGUAGUCAUGCCAUGGAAACUGGGCCUUCCCAGACAUUCCGUGCUUUAGGGGAGAGGGGAGGAAGAACAUGGCUGCCUAGAGUUUUUCUUUAAUACCAAUAAAGCCCAAAUUAUUGAUGCUUAAAGUGGCCAAAGACAAGUCUCCCUCUUCUCCACUUCAGUUUCCUCCUUGGUCAAAAGCCUCAUCGUUUUGAGGUGUUUGGCACAGAGUGGAAGGUCACUAGGUUGGAUGAGGGUGAGGUGCAGAUGAAGAAGCCAAGGGACUUUGCAGAGCCCAGGGUAAGGGAGAGCCCCAGGAAUAGAGAGGGGUUGCUUGUUUUUGGGUGCUCUCUUGUCUCAUUAGAGGCCAGCAGUAGGGAGCAACAAGUAAAGGGCACCCCUUGAUCAAAAUCUCAAAGAAACAACCUGGUGUCUGUCAUGGGUGGUCUUGGGUUCUUCAGCCAAGGUCUAGGGGAUGAAGGAAGAGAAAGGUAUUUUUGGUGGGCAAGUGGGUGACUCUCCAAAGCAUGGCUGAAACGUCUGAGUCUGGGUGGCAGAACCCACUCAAUUCUUAGCUUGGGCGUCUUGGAGGGGUUAGGGGCUGGUCCUGAAGAGAAAUCCUGGGGGGUGAAAUUAGGGAGCAGGAACUUUUGCCUCUACUGGAGCCGGAGCUGUACACAGCUUCUCCCUGGGGGCUCGCUCCUUGCCCUGCUCUGCUAUGGAGCGAAGAGCAAGACUUUGCCAUGGCUGGAUGGCAGUCUGCCCAGCUCCACACAGGAGCUAGAGGAGAAGACCUGCUCCACUUCGGCAGCUCCACUUCCUAGACAAGCUUCUUGGAGACCUAACAAGAGGAGGAGGCUGCCUCCAGCUCCUGCUCAGGAGCAUUGGGACCUUGGUAGAGGGCAUUAGAAGCUGGAACAGUGCCGGGAAGUUAAUGUUUUUGAGAGGUCCCUAGAGAUGGACUCUCCAGGUAAGCAUGGAUGGACAAGGAAAAGUUACAGAUUAAAGGAAGAGUCAACAAACCAUGGCCAGAGAGACUGGGAUAUUAGUGAGUCCUGGCUUGGUCUAUGUUUUUGACUAGGGUAGGGUCAGAGUACGUGAGUGGGUGUAGAUGUGCACACCUGGAUGAGCAUGUGUCUGGACAUGUGAUUGUCCGUAAACAUUUGCGGUUCUGUGUUGGUGGGUGGAUGUGGACUUAAUCUGUGUUAUGCCCCAAGACAGAUUAGAAGCUAUUCUCCUAAAAUGGUGGACUUUACUCUAAGUGUAGAUUCGAACCAGGGGUCACUGGGCUAGGCCAUGGAGACACCCAUGCUCAGGGGCUGCUGACUCAGCGUGCCCAUGGCAGGCUGCUGACUCAGCUGUGUCCAUGAGGUGCUUUAAUUCUGAUGUCAGUGUAAGCCAUGCUUCUAGGCUCACUCUAGGUCCCAUGUAGCUCUAGGUUUCAACAAGCUACUCAGUUGUUCUCAUUAACGGUGAACGUCUCAAAUGCCCACGGAUAAGCCCCCAAGGACUCCUCAUGGUUGGCUUCUACUCACAGAAAUGCCACAUUGGGAAGCAGAAUUGUGGUCAAGUCUCCGGGCCACCUUUUUCUGGACUCUUGAAGGCUCAUCAUAUCAAAACUCUGGGACUGUAGGGUGGGCGUGCUAUCUCCUGAGGCAA